UACAUGGGGUGCAAACGUUGUUCGGAAUUACUGGGCGUAAAGGGCUCGUAGGCGGCCAACUAAGUCAGACGUGAAAUCCCUCGGCUUAACCGGGGAACUGCGUCUGAUACUGGAUGGCUUGAGAUUGGGAGAGGGAUGCGGAAUUCCAGGUGUAGCGGUGAAAUGCGUAGAUAUCUGGAGGAACACCGGUGGCGAAGGCGGCAUCCUGGACCAACACUGACGCUGAGGGAGCGAAAGCCAGGGGAGCAAACGGA
rnacentral:rRNA from 1 species